UGUGUCACCGGGCGGGGAGCGAACCCAUUGUUUUGGACGCGCCACCGUCACGCUAUGCACUCAGCCACCGCUACCCAAAUGGCGUUGCGUGUUGGUUCAAAACGGAGCGCAGCGUUAAGAUACGGAACGAUUCUGUCUUUUAAUGUAUCGGAUUCUAAUGAGUGAUUCUUUAGGUUCACGGUACAGAGGAAGGGUCACACUACCACCAGGGUCAUAAAACUACUUCUAGAAAUGCCCACAACUCCUAGGAAAGCCUUGGCAAAUGUGUGUUUCCUUAGGUUCACGGUACAGAGGAAGGGUCACACUACCACCAGGGUCACAAAACUACCCCUGGAAAUGCCCACAACUCCUAGGAAAGCCUUGGCAAAUGUGUGUUUCCUUAGGUUCACGGUACAGAGGAAGGGUCACACUACCACCAGGGUCAUAAAACUACCCCUGGAAAUGCCCACAACUCCUAGGAAAGCCUUGGCAAAUGUGUGUUUCCUUAGGUUCACGGUACAGAGGAAGGGUCACACUACCACCAGGGUCAUUAAACUACCCCUGGAAAUGCCCACAACUCCUAGGAAAGCCUUGUCAAAUGUGUGUUUCCUUAGGUUCACGGUACAGAGGAAGGGUCACACUACCACCAGGGUCACAAAACUACCCCUGGAAAUGCCCACAACUCUUAGGAAAGCCUUGGCAAAUGUGUGUUUCCUUAGGUUCACGGUACAGAGGAAGGGUCACACUACCACCAGGGUCACAAAACUACCCCUGGAAAUGCCCACAACUCCUAGGAAAGCCUUGGCAAAUGUGUGUUUCCUUAGGUUCACGGUACAGAGGAAGGGUCACACUACCACCAGGGUCACAAAACUACCCUCUCAUUUCACUCCCUCGUACGACCCCGUGUUUUAAUUAAGGGACGGGUGGUCGUCCUAUUUAAGCCCCGUUAAAACUGUGCCGGUCAGAUGGAAGGAAAUAUUUAGAAGAUUAUAUUUCGUUGUUUUUUACGAAAAUUUUGGAAUU